AACAGUUGAUCUGCAACAGCCCUGUGUGCUGGCUCCAAGAUUUUCCUGUGGGAUGAAUGCAUAUGGGGGCAGAGAGAUUUAUUUUAAACGGUUUCGGUCACACCUCUUUUGGCCUGCCUGGUGGGCGAGGGACGUAGGUUACUUGCUGGAAGGAGACUCUAAUGGGGGAAUGAGGAGAGCAGCAAGAAGGGGCUAGAGGCCUCUUCUAGUCCCUUCCAACCUGGCAGCAGGCAGGCUCCUAUUCUGACACCCUAGCCCUUGCGAUGGGGCCCAUUAUGUCAACCAGGGCACAGGCCGGGGAUAGAGGCAAGAGGCAGCAAUUCGACUGUGGGACAAAAUCGAAGUCUGCCUGAUUGGUGUAGCUCAGUGACUUACAUCUGGAUAAGUCCAGGGAAAACAAAACUUCACAGAAGAAUUCCAAUGGAUAAAUAAACAAAUGAAGAGUAUUCAGCAUCACUAAUAAAAGAAACGGAACAUAGUACAUUGUCUCAUUGGCACAGAUUUCUAAGAGAUGAUAAUAUCUUUAUCGGUAAAGGUGGUAAGAAAGGUGUCUCCUGUACCGAUGAUGCAGAAGGAACACGGCAACCCUUUAGAAAACAACUUGGCAAUAUGGCUCAAGAAACAUAAGACACAGAUGAAGUGUGCAAACCCGGCAUACCAAUAUGCUGACUUGCAUCAUUGUGUGUGGUAGUGCUUGAAUGUCUAAUACUACCGAAAUGAUUUUGUAAAUGAUGUUACAUUUAUGCAAUGGAAUGCUGUUCAUCUAUAGAAAAAGAAAAAGGUUUUCAAAGAA